rnacentral:tRNA from 1 species
GUAGUCGUGGCCGAGUGGUUAAGGCGAUGGAAUACAAAUCUUUUGGGAUCUUCCCGCGCAGGUUCAAAUCCUGCCGACAUCG